rnacentral:rRNA from 1 species
CAGCCGCCGCGGUAAUACGAAGGAUGCAAGCGUUAAUCGGAAUUACUGGGCGUAAAGCGUGCGUAGGUGGUGGUUUAAGUCCGUUGUGAAAGCCCUGGGCUCAACCUGGGAAUUGCAGUGGAUACUGGGUCACUAGAGUGUGGUAGAGGAUAGUGGAAUUUCCGGUGUAGCAGUGAAAUGCGUAGAGACCGGAAGGAACAUCUGUGGCGAAGGCGACUAUCUGGGCCAACACUGACACUGAGGCACGAAAGCGUGGGGAGCAAACAGGAUUAGAUACCCCUGUAGUCCCUGUCUCUUAUAA